rnacentral:rRNA from 1 species
GGAUGCGAUCAUACCAGCACUAAAGCACCGGAUCCCAUCAGAACUCCGAAGUUAAGCGUGCUUGGGCGAGAGUAGAGUAGUAGGAUGGGUGACCUCCUGGGAAGUCCUCGUGUUGCAUCCC